CACACUGGAACUGAAACACGGUCCAGACUCCUACGGGAGGCAGCAGUGGGGAAUUUUGCGCAAUGGCGGAAGCCUGACGCAGCGACGCCGCGUGGGGGAUGACGGCCUUCGGGUUGUAAACCUCUUUCGGCCUCGACGAAGCCUUUCGGGGUGACGGUAGGGGUGGAAGAAGCACCGGCCAACUACGUGCCAGCAGCCGCGGUAAUACGUAGGGUGCGAGCGUUGUCCGGAAUUAUUGGGCGUAAAGAGCUCGUAGGCGGUGUGUCACGUCGGCCGUGAAAACCUGCAGCUUAACUGUGGGCGUGCGGUCGAUACGGGCAUCACUGGAGUUCGGCAGGGGAGACUGGAAUUCCUGGUGUAGCGGUGAAAUGCGCAGAUAUCACGAGAACACCGGUGGCGAAAGCGGGUCUCUGGGCCGAUACUGACACUGAGGAGCGAAAGCGUGGGGAGCAAACAGGAUUAGAUACCCUGGUAGUCCACGCCGUAGACGGUGGGCACUAGUGUGGGGCCAUUCCACGGUCUCUUGUGCCGCAGCUAACGCAUUAAGUGCCCCCGCCUGGGGAGUACCGU
rnacentral:rRNA from 1 species